ACUCGCUUACUUGUACGACUAAUAGCUAGCAGGUAGGUUAGAGGUAGGAUGCGCGUCUGCCUAGUUUUGCGCGCAUCGACCCAUGACCGCCGCCGUCGGCGUGGGGGUGACCCGCGUCCGUCCGGCUCGCGCGUCAGCUUGGCGGCUGCCCGCGUCGCACUCGCGGCCGCCGGUGCUGGUGGGCCACGGGCCCCACCAGCGUAGGGGUUUUCGUCUGUUUGUUUGCCAGGUAGGAGUAGGACGCAGCAGGACGGUUGGAGGCACAGUACAGUGUGCUCUGUUGUUCUCUUGGGUUAACCGAACUGUGCUGGGAUCAUUCCGCACGUCCGGGCUAGCUGCUAAUAGGCCGUCCUGGAGCGUUGGAGUUAACCAGUGAAGUGAUUGGGCCAAUCACAUCGGUGCUUCGCCGCCAACAACAAGCACGGUCCAAAUCUCUCUCUCUCUUAAAGUUAAAAUAAAAAAAUGUUUAUUUCUAAUGCAAUUUGACGAGGGAAACUGACGGUUCAAGAAAGAAACACAACGACGGCAUCGUUGUAUCAGCUAAAAGAAAUAAUUUGUAGCCUGUACGGCAUGCCGGAGGUGCGCCCUCUCGUUUGUUGGACUGAAGGACCGAUGAUGACCGCGACCGCCCUAGCAGAGUUUGACACUCUUUUUUUUUCACUUGGAAAUGGGUACAAGAUGAUUAAUGAGGCAAAAGAAAGAAA